UAUGAGAGAUAAAUCGAGACUUAGAACCAUGAUUUUCUUGAAACCUAUCCUUGAGCUUAAGGAUUUGAGAUGAGUGGAGAGUCUAUAUAGAGUUGAAUAAGGAAAUAGAAUAUGAGAUAGAGCAAGAGUUAAGGCAUGAGAUUUGUUAAUGAGUUUCUAAUCGAGAUUCAUUUUAUGACAUGAACCUUCGAUGAUGAUGAUGAUCCCUGAAGACACGAGCAGAGCAAGGAAGUAAGUAACUCCGCUUUGACGGGAGAUUUUGAGUAAGGUCUUCAGGCUAAGCGGGGAGCGAGAUUGGUCUGGUGCUGGUGGGGAACCGUUUCAAUCGAUGUGAUCAUAUUUAAUAUUGCCGUUAUGAUUGAUAGAGUCUUGAUGAUUAAAAAUACUUCGUUUCCUUUCGAAUCAAGUAAUAUACUCACGGUUAUGUGUCUUCAUACAUAUAAUCGGUUCGCCUUUUGCUGCGAUACUCUACAUAUUAUGCUUCCUUAUGAAAAAUGAGCUAUACCCAUUUUGUUUUUGUUCGUGAAAUUCCUGAUAAUUAAAAAGUUAUAACGACGUUGACGAUUUUACCCUUGGG